GUUACUACUAGGAGAGGUGGCGAUAUGCUUCUUCACGAAGGACAUUCCUGCACUUGCAUUAAGGUUGACGAAACUACGUUGUAUUGGGCCUGCCGGCGAAGGGGAGUUUGUAGAACUAAGAUAGUUACCGAUCACGCCAAGACUCGUGUAAUCUCUUAUUCCAGUCACCAUACGCACGCCGAUGACCCCCGAGAUAAACGUGCUUCGGGUUCGUCAUCAGAUGAAGGAAAAGGCUGUGGAAGGCCGUCUGGCACCGCACCAAAGACUUCUGGAUGCGGCUGCCUGUGUCAGUGACGGCACUGCAUCGCAGAUUCCCGCACCGUCAACACUUCGGCGCACUUCGGAGGAAAGGCAGCAAGUUAAUUUCGAGUACAACGCACCAUCUUGCAGAGCCGGCAUACGAAUGCCCCACAGAGUUUAAGCCAAAGGGGAUUCCUUUUUCCUCCACGACAGCGGAGAGGGCGACAGCGAAAGAAUCCUGAUCUUUGCUAGCGAGCGCAACUCGAGCUGUCUGGCUAAGGCGACUACGUGGUUCGCGGACGGGACCUUUAAAGUCACCCCGGCACAGUUUUACCAACUGUACAUGGUGCAUGCCACAGUCAAUGGCGUGGUAGUGCAAAUGGUUUACGGCUUGCUGCCCAACAAAUCUGAAGCCACCUACAGAA